UGGGGAAUCUUGCGCAAUGGGCGAAAGCCUGACGCAGCAACGCCGCGUGGGGGUAUGAAGGCUCUCGGGUUGUAAACCCCUUUCAGCAGGGACGAAUCAAGACGGUACCUGCAGAAGAAGCCCCGGCUAACUACGUGCCAGCAGCCGCGGUAACACGUAGGGGGCAAGCGUUGUCCGGAUUUAUUGGGCGUAAAGAGCUCGUAGGUGGCUGAGUAAGUCGGAUGUUAAAUCCCCAGGCUCAACCUGGGACACCACCCGAUACUGCUCUGGCUAGAGUCCGGUAGGGGAGCGUGGAAUUCCUGGUGUAGCGGUGAAAUGCGCUAGAUAUCAGGAGGAACACCAGCGGCGAAGGCGGCGCUCUGGGCCGGUACUGACACUGAGGAGCGAAAGCGUGGGUAGCAAACAGGAUUAGAUACCCUGGUAGUCCACGCCGUAAACGUUGGGCACUAGGUGUAGGGGGUCUAUUCAACGGACUCCGUGCCGUAGCUAACGCAUUAAGUG
rnacentral:rRNA from 1 species